rnacentral:SRP_RNA from 1 species
GCUGGGCAUGGUGGCACACACUUGUAGUCCCUGCUACCAGGGAGACUGAGGCUGACGAAUCUCUAGAGCUCAGGGAUUCUAAGCUGUAGUGGGUUAUGUCAAUCAGGUGUCUCCACUAAGUUUAGCAUGAAUAUGGAGUGAGAUACCACCAAGUUGCCUAAGGAGGGACAAACCAGUCCACACUGGAAAUACAGCAGUUCAAGGCUCCAAUGAUGGUCAGUAGUGGGACUGGGCCCAUGAGUAGCCCCUGUACUUCCAGCCUAGGUGAGAUGGAGAGAUUUAAUCUUUA